UACGAAGGGGGCUAGCGUUGCUCGGAAUCACUGGGCGUAAAGGGUGCGUAGGCGGGUCUUUAAGUCAGAGGUGAAAUCCUGGAGCUCAACUCCAGAACUGCCUUUGAUACUGAAGAUCUUGAGUUCGGGAGAGGUGAGUGGAACUGCGAGUGUAGAGGUGAAAUUCGUAGAUAUUCGCAAGAACACCAGUGGCGAAGGCGGCUCACUGGCCCGAUACUGACGCUGAGGCACGAAAGCGUGGGAGCAACAG
rnacentral:rRNA from 1 species